GAAGAAAUCGAACGACAGAUUCUCCUUCCAUCUUCUCCUUCCGCCAAUUCCAUGGCGCGAUUCCGGCGAAUCAAUCCAUCCAUCUAUUUGGGAACUCAUAACAGCGCCAGCGCUAGGGUUAGGGUUAGGGUUUACGAGUUCUUUAGUAUGCUUGGAAAUUUUGGCUACUGCUUAGACUUUCUUUGAUGGUGUUAACAGCGGCUAGAUAUGUUUUCUAGCCUCAGGAUGAUCAUUAACAUGGAAGCGCUAGCAUUGCGUGCCACUUGAGACCGCUGCACAAUUCGUUCGUAUUUGGUAUCGAAUGCUUUCGCUUAGUGAGAUAUUUAAGUGAUUUUCUUUCCAUUGUUGACGGCAAGUUCUGCACUAACUUCAACACCCAAUUUGCCCGUGAUACCAUCGACUUCGAGAAAUUCUACUCCGAACACUCGUCUUCAAUUCAGUCUGGUUGGUGCAAGCCGGCAGAUGAUUGCAAUUUCGUGUACGGGGGGCCGAAUGAAGAUAAGUACGGAUCUUCAGAAGACUAAGAAGUUAUCUAAGAAAAGCAGGAAAAACAGCAGAAUUGGUACGCAACUGUUGCCUUCGAGGUCGAGGAGAAUAUUGGAUAAGUGAUGGAUUGUGGGUGAAAGGGCACGGGGAAAGGCGGAGUCCUGAGAACUCAUAGUCCAACUGGGGAUAUGAAGUCUUCUGGUUCAUAUACAAGACAGAAGACUGCGAGUGGAUAUGCCGAUGGUGGAAUAAGAAUUUGGAAUGGUGACAUAAUGGGGUUGUUACCGUCCUUAAGUGUACAACAAGCUUGGUUCCUUGUUUGCAGGAAGUAAAGAUAACAAUGUUAUACCAUGGGAUGUUGUUGGUAAGACAGAGGCUUUUUCGCUUCUGUGGCCAUCGUGAUCAGGUUCACAAUUACAUUUUAAUUGGAGCUCUUUUCUUUUUCCCUUUUGUCCUCUGAUAGAAAGAUUGACUUCCAUUGCUAGCUUAACUUGGUACAUUAAAGGAAGGGCAGAUGAAUGUGCUCAAAAUAGCUUUGAGGGCCGGUGCAAAAUGCCCUGUCAAGUGUGGAAGGAAGAUGAAGGUGAAAAGGGAAGAUGUUAGGGAAGCCAUUGAAGAGGUGAUGGUUGAAGGAGAGGAAGCUGAAAGUCGGAGAAAGGGGGCUGGAUUAUAUUGGAAAUUGGUGAAGAAAGCUGUGAGAGAGGAGGGUGGGGCUUCCCACCUUAACACUACGCUGUUGAUCAAGGAAAUUCAGAAAAUUUGGGCUUGUGAUGAUAGUUGCAUGCAGAAGCUGGGAAAGGUCAAUUUGAGAUUGCUUUAGGGCAUACCGCUUGUCUCAAUGCUGCUGACAACUUAAUUUACACUCGUGAAGUGAUUAUCGUGAAGUGAUUAGAGGGGGCUACUGCAAGGAAGCAUGGAUUGUUGGCAACAUUUAUGCCUAAGUAUGUUUUUGGAUUCAAUCAAGUAAACGCUCACUUGACUGGAAUGAGUGCAACAAUUUUUUACUGGUUGAACUAGUUUUUGCUAAUGUUUGAGAGAGAGACUAUUUUUUGCUAAUGGUUUUAACUUGGGACCCAUAUGAAAAAUCUAUUUCCCUAUUGAGAUUUGAAACAUAAUAAGUGAGUUAAUCCAAUAAUCCUAUUUGCUGCUUUCAUUAAUUCCUAAGAGACUCUCUUGGUUAUGAUAGACCUAGACUGUUAUUUUGAUUGAGAUGUGGAAAAAAUAAAAAGGAGGAAUAGAUGUGAAAGCCGUCCUUACUCUCCCAAUUCCAAGUUACUUGGUUGAUAUAUUUACUAGUAUUACCUCCA